rnacentral:tRNA from 1 species
ACCAGUUUGGCUCAGUGGAUAGAGCGUUCACCUGCAGACUGAAAGGUCCCAGGUUCGAUUCCGGCCAAGGGUA